rnacentral:rRNA from 1 species
AAUGAACGUUGGCGGCAUGGAUUAGGCAUGCAAGUCGAGCGAGCAGAGUUUUGAAGCUUGCUUUAGAACUCGGACAGCGGCGAAAGGGAGAGUAACGCGUAGUUAUGUGCCCUAGGGUCCGGAAUAGCCACGGGAAACUGUGGGUAAUGCCGGAUAAUAUCCCCGGAUCAAAGGUGUGAUUCCGCCCUAGGAGCAGACUGCGUCCUACUAGCUAGUUGGUGGGGUAAUGGCCUACCAAGGCAAUGAUGGGUAGCGGGUUUGAGAGCAUGACCCGUCUCACUGGGACUGAGACACUGCCCAGACACCUACGGGUGGCUGCAGUCGAGAAUCUUCGGCAAUGGGCGAAAGCCUGACCGAGCGAGGCCGCGUGCGGGAUGAAGGCCCUCGGGUUGUAAACCGCUGUCGUAGGGGAGGAAGGUUCCGUGAAGAGCGGAAUUUGACCUAUCCUAGGAGGAAGUACGGGCUAAGUUCGUGCCAGCAGCCGCCGUAACAC